CACCGCGGUUAUACGAGAGGCCCAAGUUGAUUAAUCCCGGCGUAAAGAGUGGUUAAGAUUACAAUUAAACCUAAAGUCGAACGCCCUCAGAGCAGUUAUACGCAUCCGACGGUAAGAAGCCCAGUAACGAAAGUAACUUUAUUUUACCCGACCCCACGAAAGCUAAGGAA
rnacentral:rRNA from 1 species